GAGUUCCUACGGGGAGCAGCAGUGAGGAAUAUUGGUCAAUGGGCGGGAGCCUGAACCAGCCACGUCGCGUGAGGGAAGACGGUUCUAUGGAUUGUAAACCUCUUUAGGCGGGGAGCAAUGCCGGGCACGCGUGCCCGGAGGGAGAGUACCCGCAGAAUAAGCAUCGGCUAACUCCGUGCCAGCAGCCGCGGUAAUACGGAGGAUGCGAGCGUUAUCCGGAUUUAUUGGGUUUAACGGGUGCGUAGGCGGAUUUUUCAGUCCGCGGGAUAAUGUCCGGGCUCAACCCGGGGCGGCCGGUGAAAGUG
rnacentral:rRNA from 1 species